GACGUAGGGCGCAAGCGUUGUCCGGAUUUAUUGGGCGUAAAGAGCUCGUAGGCGGUUUGUCGCGUCGACUGUGAAAACCUGCAGCUUAACUGUGGGCUUGCAGUCGAUACGGGCAGGCUGGAGUGCGGUAGGGGAGACUGGAAUUCCUGGUGUAGCGGUGAAAUGCGCAGAUAUCAGGAGGAACACCGGUGGCGAAGGCGGGUCUCUGGGCCGUUACUGACGCUGAGGAGCGAAAGCGUGGGGAGCGAACAGG
rnacentral:rRNA from 1 species